UGGUAAUAUAUAUUUUUCCUCCUUUAUGUCUCUGAUAGCACUGAAUUGUAGUCCCACAAAGUUUGGAAGAGAUAUCUUAGUACUUUGUGUAAGAUAUUUUCUGAAGAAUAAUUGCUGACUGUUUUGUUUUAUUAAAAUAUGUUACAUUAUUUAAAAAAAUCAUUUCACUAACAAUAUACUUUAAGUGCCUAAAAUUUUUGAUAUUGGCAACUUUUCCUCAAUAGUCACUGGGUAAUAAUCGUUAUGCUGUUGUUAUUCAUUUGAUCAGUCAUUAUUACGUUUUCCCAAAGAGAGAGAAAGUGUGUGUGUGUAUACAUAUAUAUGGUACAUUAUUUCUUUUGUUUGGUAUGUGAUUAAAUGUGAUUCCACAUAUAUCAUGUAGACAAGAAAGUGGACAUGUAUGGAUUUUUUUUCCAGGGAUGGAUUUAUUAAGACGUGUCUUGCAAGGAAGAUAUAAAAUACUUGAUAUACAGGUGAAAAAUGGUUGAGAAAUACAUUUAUUGAGUGGGAGCUCUAUAGUAAGCAUUUCAGUAUUUUAAGGAAUUAGGAAAAAAUAGUGAAAAUAGAGAUUCCCUUUCUAAAAUAAUUUGCAAGUUAGAAAAGAGAGGAUAAUGGCCACUGCAGUGUUUAUGAGAAAGAAAACUGCCAAAGAUAGUGGAAAAGAAGUAUACAACUAACUAAUGGUCUUACCAACUACUAUAUAUAGUUAAAUUUGCCAGACUCCCUGGGCGGAGACCCUGUGGGACUGCAUUGGAAAGGUCACAGAGAGGAGGUGAAUCUUGAGCAGAGUUUUCUCAGGGGUUAUGUAACAAAAACAAAACAAAAUGAGACAGAUAAUCAAGAAUCUACCUUUUAUAUUAGUGAAUUCUAUUUGGUAAUAACAGAUAUUAUAUGAGAAUUAUAUUUUUUGUUAUUUUGGUGGAAAAAGCAAAUUUGAUGUUUUGUUUAAAGAAUUUGUUAAUACAUGAAAAAUCUAAUAGGAAGCUGUAACCCAGAUGCUAAAGUACUCAAUACUUAAUGACUUUGAUUGAUUAAUCUCUUUUUUUUUAAUGUGGGUAGUAAUAGCAAAUUCUAAUAAACACAUUGUUCUUAUAUGUAGCUUAGCUUCUAGAUUUCAGAGUAAACCUGUAUACAUUGUUUUAAAAUGUUUAUUUAGUAUCUUUUAAAUUUAUCCUAGCAUUUUUAUUGUUUAUAAUUUUGAAUGUAAAAUAUGAACAUAUGCUUGUCAUGUGUCAUAUAUCUAAUAAUUUGUUUUAGAUAUUUUAGAAUUAAAAUAGUUCUGUAGGCAGUUAAAAAUCUAGAAAGCAGUAUAUCCUGCAGAAAUAUCUUAUUUAAACUAUCUUCUAGGAGUUCGCAUUGUGGCUCAGUAGGUUAAGGACCUGACAUUGGCUCUGUGAGGAUGCAGUUUUGAUCCCUGGCCUUGCUCAGUGGUUUAAGAAUCCGAUGUUGCCAUAAGCUGCAGCAUAGGUUGCAGAUGCAGCUUGGGUCCGGUGUUGCUGUGGCUGUGGCAUGGGCUGCAGCUACAGGUCUGAGUUGAACCUCUGGCCUGGGAACUUCCAUAUGCCACAGGUGCAGCUGUUUUUUUUUUAAAGUGUAUACAUACACACACACACACACACACACACACACACACACACACACACACACACACACACACACACAUAUAUAUUCUAAAGUUAGUUGAAUUCAAUUUUGUGUUUAGUUCAUCUCACUAUUAUUGUUAUUAUUAUUUUAAAAAUCAAGUGUGGCUCCCCAAUUCAGUAGAAAAAAUGAAUUGUUUUAGUGCAAUGAAGCAUGUUUUAUAGUUAGGCUGAAAUAUCUGAUCAGAUGCAAAUCUAUCCUUUCGUUAUUUAGAGCAAUGGACUGACAUAGUGACAACCCCAACAAUAAAAUAACCCCCCACUUUAAAUAUUGAAUCUUCCUAAUAUAUUUUGCUCUUUGUAAAUGAUAUCUAUUGUACAAAGUAGUGUUUCCUCAUAGAAAAUUAGAGAAAAAUAUUUCUUUUUUUUCUGGCAUGCCCACUGUAUGUGGAAGUUCCUGGACCAGGGAUCAAACCUGCGCCACUGAAGUGACCUGAGCUACAGCAGUGAAAACACUCAAUCCUUAACCCACUGUGCCACAAAGGAACUCCUAUAUCAUAGCUCUUUAAAAGUAGAUUUCAAACUUAAAAGGUUAUUAGGCUUAACUCCUAAAGAAAGAAUUGAAUCUAGUGUGUGAAAAUUUUGGUUCCUCUGUGCUUUGCCACCUCCUUAGACAGCUAAGGUGUGAAUUUAAGUUCUUAGAGGGCAGUGAUCAGGUUUUCUUUUUUUUUUUUUUUUCAUACUUCUCUUCCCCUUAUUCCUCACAAGGGGAUCUAUAAUGUUGAUUGUAUAGUUGGAUGUUGAUUAUGAUGUGCAGAUAAUAGCGAUAUUAUAAGUGAUGAAAUUUGAAAGGAAAUGUCUCAGUUUGCCGUUUUAUGAUGGCAUUUUAAAGCCAUUCUUGUAAUUCCCUGCAUGGCUCAGUGAUUAACAAACCUGACUGGGAUCCAUGAGGACGCAGGUUUGAUCCCUGGCCUUGCUUGGUGUGUUAAGGAUCUGGCGUUGUUGUGUUGGUUGCAGAUAUGGCUUGGAUCCCAUCUUGCUGUGGCUGUGGUAUAGGCCAGCAGCUGUAGCUCUGAUUCGACCCCUAGCCUGGAAACUUCCAUAUGCCUCGGGUGUGGCCCUAAAAAGCAAAAUAACUAAAUAAAUACAUAAAUAAAUAACCAUUCUUCUGUCUACAAACAAGUUGCUUAGUCAUUUAACAAGUAUUCAUUGAGUACCUACUGUGUGUCAGGGGCUGUGCCAGGUACUGGAAUUACAAUAUAGAGAAGAUAGACUUUUUUUUUUUAACUUUAUCAUAGGGGAAGACAAUUUAGGAAGAAUUAUCUGGUGUUUGUUGUUCUCCUUUCUUAACUGAAAAGCAUUGCUAUUAACUGCUUAAUAAACACUUUGUGGAAAGAGUAAUGGUAGUGAUUAUCACCUGAAGGAAAUGACUUAUGAAAACAAUUAUGUGACAGUUUUGGAGAAAACAGUGAGACUAUGAGAAUAGAUUAUUUUGAUUCACAAGUGUAACUUUUUUCAUCUGUAUGACCAAAGCUAUUUGUGUCCGGUAUAUAUGGUAAUAAUAAGCAUUCUCUAUGACAUCUUGUAGCCUGUAGCUUUUCUUGCAGGAAACUGGAAACAUGUCAGGAUGCCUUUCUGAACUCUGGCCUUGCUCCUAACUGGAGCCAUUGCACCAGGCUCUGAGAGGCAUUAGCACCAUACCAUUCAGAGGUGAGAAAAUCAAGAACUGUAGAGAAGUUUGGAGGAAGAGCAAGUACAUGGACUUCACAGUGAUGGUUGCAAUCAACGUAAGAAACAGAAGAAUAGAAAUGUGGCCUUGGGGGUAUACCCAGUAAUUUCUCCAAUUCUUCAGAUGUCAGCAGAUCUAUUGCAGAUUUUGCAUUUAACAUGUCAGUCUGAUGGGUGUCUGUGACUGACAGAAGUGACUAGGGGUGUGGGGAGUGGCAAGUUACUCGCAGGAGCCAUGAAAACAGUGUAUAAAGUUGGAAUUGGGAGCACUAAGCCUGAAACUCUGUUUUUAUCAUUUUUAGUUCUAUGACUUUCAGCAAGUGUUUUAAAGUUCCCGAGGCUCCAUUUCUUCUGUGUAAGAUGGAGAUAAUAACCAUCUUAAAAGCUUUUAAAGUAGGGCUAAAUGAGUUAAUGACUUGGAAAAGGCCUUGCUUAGUGACUCAGUCCUCAACACUUUGAGAUUGUUUGAGUAAAGGUAGAUAGGAUUUUCUAGGCUGUGGUGAUUUUUACAUUAUGCUUUUUAGUAUAUAGUUGUCUAGCUCACAUUUAGUGAGCACUUAAUUUGUUUCAUGCAUUGUUUUGUGAGUUUCAUCUUAUGACUUGUUGACUCCUCAAUGACUAUGUGAGGUAGAUCUUUUACUUUCCUUUCACAAGUGAGAACUCUGGGGUCGAGUUUCGUGACAGAGCCCAAAUUUGAACCUGAACAUGUGGCUUGUCCCUGGAGCUUUCUUAACCCUGCUUCUAGAUGGUGAAGUCACUCUAUCCACAUUAGGGCAGAAGGAACAAAAGAAAAUACUAUGUAGUGAGGGGUAAUCUCUACAUACUAAAAAGAUAAACUCAUUUUAACUUAUUCACCCAUUUGGAAAAGGAUUGAAAUGACCAUUUGUCUUAUCUUUGAUUUGUACAUUGUUUCUUUCAAUUUUGAAUAAUUAAUUCUGAUACAGAGUAAAAGUUGUAGUGAUUUCCAAUCAAAUCUUUUCUCUUAAGCUAAGCAGUCUUUCUCAUUUGUUGUUUCCUCUUAUUCUUUUGUGUUUUUGUAUGGGAUCCUGAAAUUGGAUGUGUUUAUUGUGUAGACCACAAAGGAUACCUAGGGAAGGUAAAGCAGCCUUAACGAGAGGAUUAAGCAAGUCAAGAGCCAUAUGUGAUAAUCCACCUCUUCAAAAAAUAGGCAUCCUGGCCUUUAUGAUUGGUUUAUGAUAGAAGACCUCCCUGUUUCACUCACACCAUGCUAAGUUAUGGUUUUCCUUACAAGCCUUAGAAUAUUUAUUUUCUUCUUCUUAGAAAAGCUGGGAUAUUUUUCUCAGGUUUGUUGAUAUCUGCUUGUAUCUGAGUAAAUGGACUCUAGAUCUUUCUGUGCUGAGAGUUUUCUGAGGAAAAUGGGUACAUGAACAAAGGACAGGUAUUUUGAUUUCCAUAAUAAAUUCUUUGUUGUAAUUUUCUAAAGAGAGGCAAAACUGUUUUUAUUUGGAAGUUCCCAGGCUAGAGGUCAGGUUCCCAGCCACAGCCACAGCCACACCAGAUCCCAGCCACAUUUGCAACUUAUGCUGCAGUUUGCCCCGGCAACACUGGAUCCUUAACCCAUUGAGCAAGGCCAGGAAUCGAACCCAGAUCCUCAUGGAUACUUGUCAGGUUCAUUACUCCUGAGCCACAACAGAAACUCCCAAAAUUGGUUUUGAAUUUUGGGUGCGUGCUUUGUGGAUUAUUUAGAUCAGAGAUUACGCGAUUUAUCAAUUAUCCUAAGAUUUGCAGGGCGAAUACUCCUUCACCCCCUGUUCCUUUAGCCUUCAUUCGUUUUUUGGUUCAAUGGAUUGAUUUUGUUUUUAGAUAUGACAGUGAGACUUAAUGAGAAGGAUAAUGUGGUGGAAUCAGAAGUGACUCCUCUUUCUCUUCUCUUAUUAUUACUGCUUUAUAAUAAUAAUAAUAAUAAUUGGCAGUGAUAGUAGCUGUAACAAAAAUAACUACAGUGUGGUGAUCAUGUUUUACGUGUCACCUGAAUUAUGUAAUAUAAUCAUUAUAUAGUUACCCACAGAAGUAAUAAGUGUAAGGGUUAAGUAGGUAUAUUAUAUCAUCAUUUAAAUGGUGAAGAAGUUGAGGUUAAAUACACUGAAUAAUUCUCCAGUCAGCUAGCAAGUAAGUGGCAGAGCUAAAAUCCAAACCCAUGACUGCCUCCUUCCUAUCUCAUAUUCUACUACUGCUAUUACCUCUUCAUU
rnacentral:lncRNA from 1 species